GGUGGGGUGGCAGAGUGGCCGAUUGCGCCUGCCUUGAAAGCAGGUACCCUUUCGGGUUCCUGGGUUCGAAUCCCAGCCCCACCG
rnacentral:tRNA from 1 species